UACGGAGGGUGCGAGCGUUGUCCGGAUUUAUUGGGUUUAAAGGGUGCGUAGGCGGCCUCUUAAGUCAGUGGUGAAAGCCCGGGGCUCAACCCCGGAACCGCCAUUGAUACUGGGGGGCUUGAGUACAGACGAGGUAGGCGGAAUUGAGGGUGUAGCGGUGAAAUGCUUAGAUACCCUCAAGAACACCGAUUGCGUAGGCAGCUUACUAGGCUGUAACUGACGCUGAGGCACGAAAGCGUGGGGAGCGAACAGG
rnacentral:rRNA from 1 species